rnacentral:rRNA from 1 species
CCCUUAGAUGUCCGGGGCCGCACGCGCUACACUGAAGGAAUCAGCGUGGCUUUCUCCCUGACCCGAAAGGGUUGGGAAACCCGUUGAAUCUCCUUCGUGAUAGGGAUUGGGGCUUGAAAUUGUUCCCCAUGAACGAGGAAUUCCCAGUAAGCGCGAGUCAUAAGCUCGCGUUGAUUACGUCCCUGCCCUUUGUACACACCGCCCGUCGCUACUACCGAUUGAACGGUUUAGUGAGGGCCUCGGAUUGGUCUCGGCCCGCUCUUUACCGGGCGGCGCCGUUGGUCGAGAAGACGCUCGAACUUGAUCGUUUAGAGGAAGUAAAAGUCGUAACA